rnacentral:rRNA from 1 species
UACGUAGGUGGCGAGCGUUGUCCGGAAUUACUGGGCGUAAAGGGUGCGUAGGCGGAAAUUUAAGUCAGAUGUGAAAAUCCAGGGCUCAACCUUGGAAUGGCAUUUGAAACUGGGUUUCUAGAGUGCAGGAGAGGAAAGCGGAAUUCCUAGUGUAGCGGUGAAAUGCGUAGAUAUUAGGAAGGACACCAGUGGCGAAGGCGGCUUUCUGGACUGUAACUGACGCUGAGGCACGAAAGCGUGGGGAGCAAACAGG